GCCACCACUGCCCGGCAAGAGACAAGACCUCUUAUUGAACCUGGAGUUCACUGGUUGGCUAGGCUGAAUGGCCAUCAAGUGACAGGAGUCUUCCACUCUCUGCUUCUCAGCACUGGGAUGGUAGGUGCAUGCUGAAAUUUUCUUGCAUGAUCCUAUCUAAGGAUCAGACUCAGGUCCCUGUGUUUCAUGGCAGCACUUUACCCACUGAAACAUCUCCCAGAGUCCUUGUGACAAUUUGAACAGACUCCCAAUAUCCUUUCUUUUCUUGAAGUAAAUAAUCCAUGGAGGAUGGCAUUUACUAUGAGAAUAACAGCAACAGGAACUAGAGAGAAGGAUUUUUGCAAAUAUCAAGUGUCAAAAUGCACAAAAGUGCAUUUUUGGGUUGACAAUUCUGAUACCUCUAUUCUAUAAAAUAUUCUAUUCCAAAAAUUAUUUAAAUAAGCAUCAACAAUGAUCAUAAAGUUUGUUAAUCUUCCUUCUACUGUGUUCUGUUGUGUAAAUAGACACUGCUUUUUAGAUGUCAGAGUACCAGGAUACUUCAGCUAGGAGUGUACAAGUGAGCAUGUCAGAGAGAGGGGAAUGGAGGGAUAUUUGUUUUAAUUAUAUGCCUGCAAAAUAUUAGAUGCAGGCUUUUAAGGUGAAAUAUUGAGACAUACUUAAUAGUGACUUUCUCUCUGCUAUAAUUAUUUUGUAGAAAAAUAUCUAAUAUCAGAGCUUCCUGAAAACCAACAAUAGAUCUGAGGGAAACAAGAAGUCUGGUACCUCAGCCACUGGGAUAGUGCCACCCACACUCAGGAUGGCUGAGUUAAACAUUCCUGGAAACAUCUUCAGAGAUAUCCUUAGAGUUAUGCCCUCACUAUGAUUUCAAAUCCAGCCAAGCUGAAGAUGAAAAUUCCUAUUACAACAUGGUAAAUAAAGUAAGGUAAUUCACUUAUAAGGAAAUAAGAUUGGAGAAGAAAAGAUGGUAAAAAUGGAUAUGGUAAAAAUGAAAGGAAAAUAGUGUAUCUAUCACACACAUAUGAAAACAAGUAGUAAAGCAUGGAGAUUGACAGCAAGAUUUUAGCUGAAGUAAAUAUUCUGAAAAAAAAUACACAGUCACAAUAACAGGACAAACAGUGGCAUGAAACUUGACUUCAUGGUGUCUGAAAGGAAUGAGAAAAAACAAAGAGAUUUAGAAUACUAAUGGAACAGAGUAGAGAUAAAGGCAAGUAUCAGAGGCAUUCCUCAGAGAAAGCUAGAUGAUAUAAGACAAAAGCUAUGAACAAACAUGUAUAUUUUACUAGAAAAAAGAAAAGAGGCAGUAUAGAAGGGAGGGAGGGAGGCAAAGAGGAUAGCAAUUCUGAUAACAACAAUUCAAUGUCUAUACACUUUGCUCCAAAUUUUUGCAUAAUUAAGCCUUAGAAAAAUUCUACAUAGUUCUGUUUUCUUCAAGUACAAGCCUAAGUAGAGCUGUGGAGAAACUUCAGAUAAACUCAGAAUCUGAUUAAAUAUUUUAUUCUAAGCCAAUUUGAUGUUUGUAAUAAAGGCAGCAUGAAAGACAUCAGUACAACACAAAGGCUUUACUGAAAAACUGAGGUUAACAAAAAAAUUGAAAUCCUUCAUUUGUAGUGUGACUUCAAUCUGAACUCUAAAUACAAUUUUUCAAAAGUGGAAUUUUCUGGUUUAAAUUAAAACAUUCUUCUCUUGGCCAUUUUGAUCAAGCAUUGUGUCUUCUGUCAGUUUGAACUUCAUUUUUCAAGACAGCAGAAAAGUCAACACAGCAUGAUAAUAUUGUUGAAAGUUAGAGAAAUGCAAACAAUUUUCAAUCAUACCUGAAGCCAGAAAAAGUCUUCCAAAGCUGGUGGUGCUGUUUCAGGAAGCUACUGAAGCUCCAGAGCAGUGGCCUGACUAGGAAGAGUGUCUCCUGGGCGGGGGCCUUGGAGAUGAUACCUGACUUUGCUUCAGAGUUUAGUGCUUUGCCAAUCUGCCCAGAUAUGAGGAAUCUGUCACCACAAACUGAAGGCUCAUACUACCACACCUUCCUCUCCAAGAUGAAUGAAUGAUAAUACAGUGAAUCAAAAUAAACCUCCUUACUCUUUUAGAUCAUUUCUGCCACAGCAACAAGAAAACUAAAGAAUGCAAACAGUUAAAGUAUUUCUCUUUUAUGGUCCUCAGUUUUUUAGCUACCCAAGUAGCUAAAGGUAACUUGACCUCAUUAAUUUAUAUAUCUAUUUUUAAAAACAUACAUCAAAGACUCUGAAAUCCUUGUGCUAGUUGUUCUAAUGGCAGCAGCUGAGGAUCUGUGAAAAUUGUUCCUUUGUUUUACAGGGAGUAUAAAUUACAUUGUUUUUUAUUUAUAUUUUCCCGAUUUGUGUCACGUCUGUAACACUGUCUAUGGCAUUCAAUUUAGUUAGCUGGUGCUAUGCUGAUCUUUAUGGGGUUCACAUUGGAGGUUUGAUGUGUUGGUUGCAGUGUAUCUGCUAGCCCUGCAAAGAGGGUGUUUCCCUUAAAGUCAUUCCUGUGUGUUAUGAGUAGAGGGACCUUGGGAUCUUACCAGCUAGCGGGCCAUGUGGUAUGACUAGCAUGGUCUCACACUGUCAUCAGCCUGGUUCAGAAUCAUAGGUGGUGUGGCCAAUUGCUUUCUUUUCUAAGCUUCAGACAGUUACCAAUCACUCCAGCAAAGAUUCCUGAAGUGGUUUUUUUUUUUUUUUUUUUUUUUUUUCCAGAUCUUUUACACAAAUGUUAGCAAUCUUGUUCUCCCUACCCCGGGCUUUUGUGUAUUCAUGCCUGUGUGUUUCUGCUUCCCUCCGCUUUCCCUUUUUCAGUCAAAACUUGCAUAGUCACAGGAUUGGCAUUUGCUCUCUCAGAAACCAUGACCUGUCCCCUGUCUGCUGCAGUCUGGCUCCUGCUGCUUUACAGUGUGUUGGCUUCCUAGUUCUCAAAGAGAAGAGAUACAUCCAAACUCCCCUGUGAGAAUGUUCCCCAGACCUACAAUAAACAAGUUUUAUUACAAUCCCCAAUUUUCCAUUUUCUACUUUUGAGGAUAGACUAUGUCCCAGCAACCAAAAUCUAGAUACUCCUUCCUCCCAUCACUGAAUCUAGAAACUCUGUGCUCCCUGUUCACUCACCUUCCCAUUUUUGAGCAACAGACAUCCAGGACCACCAAAUGUCACUCAGUUCAGUCUGAAAAUAGUAGUAAUUGCUAUUACUAUUAUUAUUAUUAUUAUUAUUAUUAUUAUCAGCAUAAUUUUAA